rnacentral:lncRNA from 1 species
CUCUGGGAAGCACCAGGGUGUCCCCGCCGCCCUCAGCUCGAAGUCAGCCACCAUGGAGGCGCAGGCACAAGUGCUGUGAACAUCUUCACUGGGAGUAGAUUCCAUCUCAAGAAACCACUCUUUGCUCAUCCAUAAGAAGCAACACCUCAUUCAUUCAAGUUUUAGCAUGAGAUUAAAAUGUCAUAAAUUUAGUUACAUCUUCAGGCUCCACUUCUGCUUCUUUUGCU